rnacentral:rRNA from 1 species
CAGCCGCCACGGGAAUACGGAGGGGGCUAGCGUUGUUCGGAAUUACUGGGCGUAAAGCGCACGUAGGCGGCUUGGUAAGUUAGAGGUGAAAGCCCGGAGCUCAACUCCGGAAUUGCCUUUAAGACUGCCGAGCUAGCAGGUGAGAGAGGUAAGUGGAAUUCCGAGUGUAGAGGUGAAAUUCGUAGAUAUUCGGAAGAACACCAGUGGCGAAGGCGGCUUACUGGCUCAUACUGGACGCUGAGGUGCGAAAGCGUGGGGAGCAAACAGGAUUAGAUACCCCUGUAGUCCCUGUCUCUUAUAC